GGGGCUGCAGCUCAGGGGGCAGAGCACUCGCCUGGCAUGCACAAGGCUCUGGGUUCCAUCCCCAGUACCCCCA
rnacentral:tRNA from 1 species